rnacentral:rRNA from 1 species
AUUUAACGCUGGCGGCAGGCUUAACACAUGCAAGUCGAACGAGUGGCGGACGGGUGAGUAAUGCUUGGGACUCUAGCUUUUGGAGGGGGAUAACUACGGGAAACUGUCGCUAAUACCGCCUACCAUAGUAUGAGCCUAUGUGGGAUUAGGUAGUUGGUGAGGUAAAGGCUAACCAAGCCGACGAUCUCUAGCUGGUCUGAGAGGAUGACCAGCCACACUGGAAUGUAGACACGGCCCAUACUCCUACGGGAGGCACCAGUGGGGAAUAUUGCGCAAUGGGGGCAACCUAACGCGGCCAUGCCGCGGGAAGGAAGAAGGCCUUGGGGUUGUAAAUUUCUUUCGUUGGCGAGGCGUUACCUACAGAAGAAGCACCGGCUAACUACGUGCCAGCAGCCGCGGUAAUUC